AUGCGAUAAGUAAUGUGAAUUGCAGAAUUCAGUGAAUCAUCGAAUCUUUGAACGCACAUUGCGCCCGCCAGUAUUCUGGCGGGCAUGCCUGUUCGAGCGUCAUUUCAACCAUCAAGCCCCGGGCUUGUGUUGGGGACCUGCGGCUGCCGCAGGCCCUGAAAAGCAGUGGCGGGCUCGCUGUCACACCGAGCGUAGUAGCAUACAUCUCGCUCUGGGCGUGCUGCGGGUUCCGGCCGUUAAACCACCUUUUAACCCAAGGUUGACCUCGGAUCAGGUAGGAAGACCCGCUGAACUUAA
rnacentral:misc_RNA from 1 species